AUUGAACGCUGGCGGCAGGCCUAACACAUGCAAGUCGAACGAGUGGCGGACGGGUGAGUAAUGUCUGGGAAACUGCCUGAUGGAGGGGGAUAACUACUGGAAACGGUAGCUAAUACCGCAUACCAUCAGAUGUGCCCAGAUGGGAUUAGCGAGUCGGUGGGGUAAAGGCUCACAUAGGCGACGAUCCCUAGCUGGUCUGAGAGGAUGACCAGCCACACGGGAACGGAGACACGGUCCAGACUCCUACGGGAGGCAGCAGUGGGGAAUAUUGCACAAUGGGCGCAAGCCUGAUGCAGCCAUGCCGCGUGUAUGAAGAAGGCCUUCGGGCUGUAAAGUACUUUCAGCGGGGAGGCGUUACCCGCAGAAGAAGCACCGGCUAACUCCGUGCCAGCCGCCGCGGUAAUUC
rnacentral:rRNA from 1 species